UACGUAGGGGGCAAGCGUUGUCCGGAUUCAUUGGGCGUAAAGAGCGUGUAGGCGGCCAGAUAGGUCAGCUGUGAAAACUCGAGGCUCAACCUCGAGAUGUCGGCGGAAACCGUCUGGCUAGAGUCCGGAAGAGGAGAGUGGAAUUCCUGGUGUAGCGGUGAAAUGCGCAGAUAUCAGGAAGAACACCUAUGGCGAAGGCAGCUCUCUGGGACGGUACUGACGCUGAGACGCGAAAGCGUGAGGAGCGAACAGG
rnacentral:rRNA from 1 species